GAUGAACGCUAGCGGUAGGCUUAACACAUGCAAGUCGAGGGGCAGCAUGGUCUUAGCUUGCUCAGACUGAUGGCGACCGGCGCACGGGUGCGUAACGCGUAUGCAACUUGCCUCACAGAGGGGGAUAACCCGCCGCAAGACGGACUAAUACCGCGUCCACUCCAUCUUGGGCCUCCAAGGUAGAGGAAAUGAACUUCGCUGUGAGAUAGGCAUGCGAGCCAUUAGCUGGUUGGUGAGGUAACGGCUCACCAAGGCGACGGUGGGUAGGGGAACUGAGAGGGCGAACCCCCACACGGGUACUGAGACACGGACCAGACUCCUACGGGAGGCAGCAGUGAGGAAUAUGGGGCAAGGGGCGAGAGCCUGAACCAGCCAAGUCGCGUGAAGGAGGACUGUCUUAUGGAUUGUAAACUUCUUUUAUACGGGAAUAACAAGAGUCACGUGUGACUCCCUGCAUGUACCGUAUGAAUAAGCAUCGGCUAACUCCGUG
rnacentral:rRNA from 1 species